AUACUUUUGUGGUUCAUAAGUGUGAUCAUUAAGUUUUCAUGCUAAUGUGUGAGAUGUGCUUCCCUCAAAGCUUGUUAGACAUCAGCACCUUGGCUGUCUGACA
ensembl:snoRNA